rnacentral:lncRNA from 1 species
UCCAGCCAUGUGCCCCAUAAGAUCACAGAGGGAGGACCCUAAGGGCGAGUAAGUUGGAAAUCAGUUUGAUUGUUUAUAUAGCAAACGAAGAAAUUGCCUCAAAACAAUUCGUUUUUAACAACGGUUUUGGGACAGAGUGCGUUUGCAAAGAUUUCCUUUUUUUUUUUUUUAAAGAAAGAAGAGAUCUGGGAUGAAGAGAAAAGGAAUAUGCCAGUAGGAAAAGGGCCUGAAAAAUCUGGAAAAGACAUCAGAUUCAGGUGAGUGAUACUGGCUGAGUUUACAUAUCGCAAGUUUUUCUAGUAUUUGAUUGACUGGGUUGUUUCCAUCUACACCCAACCAAGAAGCUGACUUGCUUUACAUUUCUAUAUCAUCUGAUCUUUUUUUUCAAGUACAAAAAAAAAAAAAAAAGGCAGAAUAAAAACACUUGAACUCUGUUCCGCACCCACCAAAGGAAGAUAAGUUGCAG